GACGAACCGAGCGAACGUUGUUCGGAAUCACUGGGCUUAAAGGGCGCGUAGGCGGGUGCUCAAGUCCGGGGUGAAAUCCUCCAGCUCAACUGGAGAACUGCCUCGGAUACUGGGUGUCUCGAGUGUGGUAGGGGGUAUGCGGAACUAUCGGUGGAGCGGUGAAAUGCGUUGAUAUCGAUAGGAACUCCGGUGGCGAAGGCGGCAUACUGGACCACUACUGACGCUGAUGCGCGAAAGCCAGGGGAGCAAACGGG
rnacentral:rRNA from 1 species